rfam:Aedes albopictus isolate Foshan contig31399, whole genome shotgun sequence.
UAGCCUAGUGGUUAAGGCUAUGGAUCGCCAAUCCAGAGACGGCGGGUUUGAUUCCCGU